UACGUAGGCAGCAAGCGUUGUUCGGAAUUAUUGGGCGUAAAGAGUAUGUAGGUGGUGUCGUAAGUUUGGUGUGAAAUCUCCCGGCUUAACCGGGAGGGUGCGCCGAAGACUGCGAUGCUUGAGUAUGGGAGAGGGAAUCGGAAUUCCUGGUGUAGCGGUGAAAUGCGUAGAUAUCAGGAGGAACACCUGUGGUGUAGACGGGUUCCUGGACCAUUACUGACACUGAGAUACGAAAGCGUGGGUAGCAAACAGG
rnacentral:rRNA from 1 species